UACGAAGGGGGCUAGCGUUGUUCGGAAUUACUGGGCGUAAAGCGCACGUAGGCGGAUGGGCCAGUCAGGGGUGAAAUCCCGAGGCUCAACCUCGGAACUGCCUCCGAUACACCACGUCUCGAGUCCGGAAGAGGUGAGUGGAACUCCUAGUGUAGAGGUGAAAUUCGUAGAUAUUAGGAAGAACACCAGUGGCGAAGGCGGCUCACUGGUCCGGUACUGACGCUGAGGUGCGAAAGCGUGGGGAGCAAACAGG
rnacentral:rRNA from 1 species